rnacentral:rRNA from 1 species
UACGUAGGUGGCAAGCGUUGUCCGGAUUUACUGGGCGUAAAGGGCGUGCAGGCGGUCUGUUAAGUCUAGGGUGAAAGCUCCUGGCUCAACUGGGAGAGGUCCUUGGAUACUGGCGGACUUGAGGGAGGCAGAGGAAAGUGGAAUUCCCGGUGUAGUGGUGAUAUGCGUAGAUAUCGGGAGGAACACCAGUGGCGAAGGCGGCUUUCUGGGCCGAUACUGACGCUGAGGAGCGAAAGCGUGGGGAGCGAACAGG